UACAGAGGUCUCAAGCGUUGUCCGGAAUUAUUGGGCGUAAAGAGCUCGUAGGCGGUUUGUCGCGUCUGCUGUGAAAACUCGGGGCUUAACCCUGGGCCUGCAGUGGGUACGGGCAGACUAGAGUGCGGUAGGGGAGACUGGAAUUCCCAGUGUAGCGGUGAAAUGCGUAGAUAUUGGGAAGAACACCUGAGGCGAAGGCGGGUUGCUGGGCCGACACUGACGCUGAGGCGCGAAAGCCAGGGGAGCGAACGGG
rnacentral:rRNA from 1 species